AAAAAUGCACAUGCUGUGAGCUCGAUGAGUAGGGCGGGACACGUGGUAUCCUGUCUGAAUAUGGGGGGACCAUCCUCCAAGGCUAAAUACUCCUGACUGACCGAUAGUGAACCAGUACCGUGAGGGAAAGGCGAAAAGAACCCCGGCGAGGGGAGUGAAAAAGAACCUGAAACCGUGUACGUACAAGCAGUGGGAGCACAGAGCAAUCUGUGUGACUGCGUACCUUUUGUAUAAUGGGUCAGCGACUUAUAUUCUGUAGCAAGGUUAACCGAAUAGGGGAGCCGAAGGGAAACCGAGUCUUAACUGGGCGUUAAGUUGCAGGGUAUAGACCCGAAACCCGGUGAUCUAGCCAUGGGCAGGUUGAAGGUUGGGUAACACUAACUGGAGGACCGAACCGACUAAUGUUGAAAAAUUAGCGGAUGACUUGUGGCUGGGGGUGAAAGGCCAAUCAAACCGGGAGAUAGCUGGUUCUCCCCGAAAGCUAUUUAGGUAGCGCCUCGUGAAUUCAUCUCCGGGGGUAGAGCACUGUUUCGGCAAGGGGGUCAUCCCGACUUACCAACCCGAUGCAAACUGCGAAUACCGGAGAAUGUUAUCACGGGAGACACACGGCGGGUGCUAACGUCCGUCGUGAAGAGGGAAACAACCCAGACCGCCAGCUAAGGUCCCAAAGUCAUGGUUAAGUGGGAAACGAUGUGGGAAGGCCCAGACAGCCAGGAUGUUGGCUUAGAAGCAGCCAUCAUUUAAAGAAAGCGUAAUAGCUCACUGGUCGAGUCGGCCUGCGCGGAAGAUGUAACGGGGCUAAACCAUGCACCGAAGCUGCGGCAGCGACACUGUGUGUUGUUGGGUAGGGGAGCGU
rnacentral:rRNA from 1 species